CCUACGGGAGGCAGCAGUGAGGAAUAUUGGUCAAUGGACGCAAGUCUGAACCAGCCAAGCCGCGUGCAGGAAGACGGCUCUAUGAGUUGUAAACUGCUUUUGUACGAGGGUAAACUCAGAUACGCGUAUCUGUCUGAAAGUAUCGUACGAAUAAGGAUCGGCUAACUCCGUGCCAGCAGCCGCGGUAAUACGGAGGAUUCAAGCGUUAUCCGGAUUUAUUGGGUUUAAAGGGUGCGUAGGCGGCCGGAUAAGUUGGAGGUGAAAUCCCGAGGCUCAACUUCGGCAUUGCGUCUGAUACGGGUAGGCUAGAGAGUAGGUGAGGUAGGCGGAAUGCGUGGUGUAGCGGUGAAAUGCUUAGAGAUC
rnacentral:rRNA from 1 species